CCCUACAGUUAAGCAUCAUCAGAGAGCUGAAGACGAGUUGUAAGCAAAUUGGAUUGAAGGAGCUCUCCUUGCCCUUGUUUCCAAUUCCAGCAUCUGUUCAGUAAAGUACAACCAAAAAGAAGAUCUGGAAAUCUGAAAAUAUGGAAGCAGAAUAACAAUCCAGCAAAGAAUGGUAAGAAGGAAAAAUAUAUUAUCCAAAUUUCAUUGUUGAAACAUUUUUGGUUAUGAAAAUA
rnacentral:lncRNA from 12 species